rnacentral:rRNA from 1 species
AUUGAACGCUGGCGGCAGGCCUAACACAUGCAAGUCGAGCGGAUGAAGAGAGCUUGCUCUCUGAUUCAGCGGCGGACGGGUGAGUAAUGCCUAGGAAUCUGCCUGAUAGUGGGGGACAACGUUUCGAAAGGAACGCUAAUACCGCAUACGUCCUACGGGAGAAAGCAGGGGACCUUCGGGCCUUGCGCUAUCAGAUGAGCCUAGGUCGGAUUAGCUAGUUGGUGAGGUAACGGCUCACCAAGGCGACGAUCCGUAACUGGUCUGAGAGGAUGAUCAGUCACACUGGAACUGAGACACGGUCCAGACUCCUACGGGAGGCAGCAGUGGGGAAUAUUGGACAAUGGGCGAAAGCCUGAUCCAGCCAUGCCGCGUGUGUGAAGAAGGUCUUCGGAUUGUAAAGCACUUUAAGUUGGGAGGAAGGGCAUUAACCUAAUACGUUAGUGUUUUGACGUUACCGACAGAAUAAGCACCGGCUAACUUCGUGCCAGCAGCCGCGGUAAUACGAAGGGUGCAAGCGUUAAUCGGAAUUACUGGGCGUAAAGCGCGCGUAGGUGGUUUGUUAAGUUGAAUGUGAAAGCCCCGGGCUCAACCUGGGAACUGCAUCCAAAACUGGCAAGCUAGAGUAUGGCAGAGGGUGGUGGAAUUUCCUGUGUAGCGGUGAAAUGCGUAGAUAUAGGAAGGAACACCAGUGGCGAAGGCGACCACCUGGGCUAAUACUGACACUGAGGUGCGAAAGCGUGGGGAGCAAACAGGAUUAGAUACCCUGGUAGUCCGCGCCGUAAACGAUGUCGACUAGCCGUUGGGAUCCUUGAGAUCUUAGUGGCGCAGCUAACGCAUUAAGUCGACCGCCUGGGGAGUACGGCCGCAAGGUUAA